UACGGAGGGUGCAAGCGUUGUCCGGAUUUAUUGGGUUUAAAGGGUGCGUAGGCGGUUUAUUAAGUCAGUGGUGAAAGACGGUCGCUCAACGAUUGCAGUGCCAUUGAUACUGGUAGACUUGAGUAUGAUUGAGGUAGCUGGAAUGGAUAGUGUAGCGGUGAAAUGCAUAGAUAUUAUCCAGAACACCAAUUGCGUAGGCAAGUUACUAAGUCAUAACUGACGCUGAUGCACGAAAGUGUGGGUAUCAAACAGG
rnacentral:rRNA from 1 species